rnacentral:lncRNA from 1 species
AUGCAUUAUUGUAUUUUUUGAUUCACUGGUGCAUUAUUGUAUACAUCAUAUAUAAAAGAUUUUUCUACACAUAUUGUGUGAAAAGACUAAUAUAACAUAACAAAAAAUUAUUAUAAGUCUUCUUUCAACCAUGCAGUCUCAUAUCUGCACUGUCUCAAGAACCCUCUCAUUCUGAUGUAAAUUCGGUCGCUUGGAAGUUGUUAGCAGCCGCUCAUUGUCAUGUCUUGUGCACCAACGAUCACUCCCCAUCCUUGUCAACCUCGGGCGUAAAAUACACUAUCCUUGGUGGGUUUUUCUUCCCAUCCUUUGUCCCCAUGGGAAAAAACUUCCUGCCUGCGAAUCUUCAUAAUUGGGAUAAUCCUCACUAGUUCUCCAUUUACAUAUGUAAUUAGUUGACAUUUCUAGGUAAUUCCGAUGAUACUUUCACUAAAAAAAUCAUAUUUAAAUUUAAUUUUUAUUAGAGAAUCGAAUAAAAAAUACGACUGGAGGACUGUCCCUAAUUGUGCAAGUCAAGACGAUUAGCCACGACGUCUUCAGGAUAAAACAACCUAUAACAAUGUUAUUACUACUAUAUAAUAGGAAACAGUCAUAUAAUUACACUUUUAACGACAACUCUAAUACGGUAAAGAUAUCACUUGAACUUAAAAGGGAUAAAGAAAGAAGAAGAGAAUAAUAACUCUAUAACUCAAGCUUAGGGAGAAGGGAGAAAAAAAUUAUUGAUAACUCGGAAACCUUUUUCAGUGUAUCGAAUGAACUGAGCAAGUCCUCUAUUCAUAUAGGAACUUCACAGCUGAUUCAAGAGAAACUAAAGUAAGAAGCAUGAAGCGAAUCAACUUAACUAAAGAAAAUCGUUCAGCGAAUCUUGGGGGAGGCGAUAUGACGUGCAAACACUAUCUGCAAACUUGAAGGAACCAAAAAAUAGUGGAAGCACUUGGAGCAAUAGACACACAUUUAUGGGUAUUAGAAAGUAUACAAGACCAAGCCCAACCCGGUAAUGUCGUUGUCGCACGUGUCAUAUAUAUAUAU